rnacentral:lncRNA from 1 species
AUGACAGUCUCGGGGUGGCUGCCUAAGGACUGUUUCUCGCAUCUCCCUUGCUGGGUCCUCUCCGCAAGCUUCCACAGUCCAUCAGUGGCCAUUGACUCAAAGUCCACCAUGGUGUGGGCCUGGGCAUGGGAUCAAGACCUGUCCACUUGUCCCCUCUCCCCCUCAAAACAAUUAUUUUCCAAGUCAAGUCAGCCCUUGAAAUCCACAAGGGCUGCUUCUCAGGAGAGAAGCCAUGAAGACUCCCUGACUGGACGGGAGGGGCUGCGCCCUGCUGCGGCCUCUCAUGGUCCCCUCCCAGGGGCCGGCAGCUCCAGGGUCCCCAGAUGGCAGGCCUGGGACACUGGUUCAGCAAACCUGUCAGGGGCCUUUCUCAGGCAGAGACUGAGAAAGAGACAGAAAAAGAAGCUGAAGAGGGAGGGCGGUUGCCCCAGGGAUGGAACGUCCUCCAGGGAGGUUAGCAUUGGUCGAUCCUCUCUCCACUCAGCAGGCAAGGAGGGACUGGAGGCCUGCAGGUGGAUUUACUUGGGCUGGGGACGGGACUGGGGCAAGGCAAGAGGGAGCCCCAGGAGGUGGCGCCACUGGGCUGUGCCCAAGAUAGGAUUGGAGCACGUGACCGAGCGCUGUGCAGGGAGGAAGCAGCGGGGCCUGAGAGUGCCCCGUGCCUCUGCCCAGAAACCAAGCCUGGGGCCGCAUGGGGCCCGCCAGGGAAGCCUGGGGCCGCUCACUUCUGUCCUGAGGAACCUCCUUGCUGGCCGAUUCCAGAUUUCUAGGUCUGCUCUGUGGAAGGCCUUGGGGAGGCGAGGAGAGCCUGGUCUAUGGGGAGACAGGUUUCUAGGCUUUCUCAACAGAGGCUGCUUUCAGAACAUCUGCCAGGCCCUCGGCCUGGACAAGUGGCAGCCCGGCAGCUCUCAGCCUCAAUUUCCAAGGUUCUCCAUCUCAGCCACAAAUGGGAGUCACUCUCAAUGUCCAGGCCCCAUCCCUAAACAAACCACAAUUUCUCGGGUGGGGCCCAGUACCCUGUAUUUUACAAAAGUCCCCCAGGUGAUUCCAGUGUGCAGGGAGGGGUGA